UUUCCGUAGGUGAACCUGCGGAAGGAUCAUUAAUGAGUUGUCAUGGGGUUCGAUGCUGGCAGCCAAUUUUUGGAUGCAUGUGCUUGCCCUAACAAUCAUCUUCCAAACACCUGUGCACAUUUUUGAGGGAGUCUUGAGGUGGUUGCCGCUCUUGGGUGAUUUUCUCACAUUCCCUUAAAUCAUUAUACGCUAUUAACAAUGUUGAACGUGCUCUGUGCCGCAAGGCUAUUAAUAUAAUACAACUUUUAACAACGGAUCUCUUGGCUCUC
rnacentral:misc_RNA from 1 species